UUUAACAGGAAAGUUACUAUCCAGAAAUUAACCCACAAAGGUGGGAAGAGUAUUUACCCGCUAAUCUCUUUAUUCCCUCGCCUGACAAAAUAUCUGCAUUCCUGGGCGGCCUCAAGAAAUGAACUACAGACAUCUAUUCCCUUUGUGAUACCUCCUUGGAAUCAAAGUGUGGAGUGUAACAAUGUGCCUCCACACACUCACACUAGUUGAUGCUUCAUCUUGGUGAAAUCAAGUUUUUGGAAUUACCUUUCCUAAGAUCAUUCUAUUCACAGAGAAGGAGCUUAAUGUAAGUGAAAUUUUGUAAAAACCAAAGGAAACUAUGGUGGAUGUAUUCUAGACAGAAGAAGGAUUAAACCAAGAUAAAAACAAUGUGAAUGAGGAAAGUGGGAGUAACAGGGAUUCCAAGAGAAAGAUUUUCCAUUUGUCAAAAAUGAGGAGUACUAAUCAGUAGUGCUAUGGAAACAAGACACUAACAGUUAUAGUCCGGAAGAAGAGAUGAUAACAUCUGUCCCUAAAAAGAGGUAAAUUCAUUUUAAAAUGACUGCUUACGAUUAUUACUUGUUAUGGUUUUGAUUAAUUUAUCAAAGAACUCAGAUGAUGUUAUAACACCUGCUACCAGAAUUCCUCUCAGGGCAGGAUAAUCUUGGUUUGCCGAAAUACUUUUUUAGCCACUUGGGAGAGAAGUUGAAAUUUGAAGAGCAUUGUCUUGGUAGAAAUCUCUUAAAGAAUACAAUGAUUAAACUGGCUUGCAGGAGAAAUCCAGAAGAAGUUUAUUUUCUUCCUGUGAAGGAAUGAGAGAAAAAUUAAAAGUAAUGUAGAAAAAAGAAAGGGAUAAUAAAGGAACUAGAUAUAUGGAAUGGGUUAAGAGAAAUACAGAGAAAGCCCAUUGAAAAAACAAGGUGGUGUAAUAGAAAAAACUUUAUUUUAAGCAAAGACGCAUAUAAUUUUUAAGAUUCUGUUUUGGGCUGAACAUCAGCAAAAUGGUAGAAUAGGGUUUUCCACUCCUUGUCCUACUGCAUAAACAUCAACUUGAACAACUAUCUGAAACACACACAAAAAAACCAUCACAGAGCUAAGGAAACCAGAAGAGAAAUUAUAGCACCUGAGUGUAGCACAGAAAUAAGAAAAAAAUGCAUCAAAGAGGAUAGAAAGGACAGUCAUGCGUUACUU
rnacentral:lncRNA from 1 species